UACGUAGGGUGCGAGCGUUGUCCGGAAUUACUGGGCGUAAAGAGCGUGUAGGCGGCUUGGUAAGUCCGCUGUGAAAGUCCAGGGCUCAACCCUGGAAUGCCGGUGGAAACUGUCAAGCUUGAGUCCGGAAGAGGCGAGUGGAAUUCCUGGUGUAGCGGUGAAAUGCGCAGAUAUCAGGAGGAACACCAAUGGCGAAGGCAGCUCGCUGGGACGGUACUGACGCUGAGACGCGAAAGCGUGGGGAGCAAACAGG
rnacentral:rRNA from 1 species